AAAAACCCCAAAAAAACCCCAAAAUCUGCUUUUUUCACCCCGUUUUUACACCUUCACCCACCUCAGCGAAGCCCCCAGGAUGGAGGUGGGGGGAAAAAAUCCCCGAUUUUGGGGUUUUUUAGCACUUUUUUAGGGCUAAAAGGGGGNNNNNNNNNNNNNNNNNNNNNNNNNNNNNNNNNNNNNNNNNNNNNNNNNNNACCCCGAGUUUGGCAACAAACUUAAGAGCUAAAAAAUGCCUGAUUUUUAAUCUUUUUAAAUAAAAGAAUGGUUUUGAAUGUUGUUUUCAGUACAAAGUCCCAAAAUUGGGUGUUUUUGUUCUGUAAAAGACUGAAAUUCAACAUUUUUAUCUCAGUUUUCUUCUUCAAAACCCCAAAAUCGGGCAUUUUUGUCCACUAAAAUCCUAAAAUUUGACAUUUUUGUCCCAGUUUUCUCCUUCAAAACCCCAAAAUUGGACAUUUUUGCCCAUAAAAUCCGAAAACUGGACAUUUUCGGCCCAGUUUUCUCCUUCAAAACCCCAAAAAUGGACGUUUUUGUCAUCUAGAAUCCCAAAAUCUGACAUUUUUGGCCCAUUUCUAUCCUUCAAAACCCCACAUUGGGCAUUUUUGCCCAUAAAAUCCCAAAAUCUGACAUUUUUGUCCCCAUUUUCUUCUCUGAAACCCCAAAAUUGGACAUUUUUGCCUCCAAAAGCCCCAAAUUGGACAUUUUUGACCAUAAAAUCCUAAAACUGGACAUUUUUUGUCCCAGUUUUCUCCUCCAAAACCCCAAAAUGGACAUUUUUGUCAUCUAGAAUCCCAAAAUCUGACAUUUUUGGCACAUUUCUAUCCUUCAAAACCCCAAAUUGGGCAUUUUUGCCCAUAAAAUCCCCAAAUCUGACAUUUUUGUCCCCAUUUUCCCCUCCAAAACCCCAAAAUUGGACAUUUUUGCCCAUAAAAUCCAAAAACUGGACAUUUUUUUCCCAUUUUUCUCCUCCAAAACCCCAAAAUUGGACAUUUUUCGCCCAAUUUUCUUCCCCAAAUCCCAAAAAUUGGACAUUUUUGUUCUCUAAAAUCCUAAAAUCUGACAUUUCUGCCCCAAUUUUCCCCUCCAAAACCCCAAAAUUGGACAUUUUUGCCCAUAAAAUCCAAAAACUGGACAUUUUUCUCCCAAUUUUCUCCUUCAAAACUCCAAAAUCUGACAUUUUUGUCCCCAUUUUCCUCUUUAUUCCCCCAUUUUUCCCCCUAAAAACCCCAAAUUCCCCCUUUUUGCCCCCAAUUCCCCCCCUCCCACACUCAAUAAUCCCCAAAAAUCCCAAAAACUACCCCAAAAUUUCCCAAUUUUGCCCUUUUUUACCCCAAUUUCCCCCCCUUCCAUCCCUGAGGUAACCGCUCACCCACCCCCAAUUCUCCCCUUUUUUCCCCCAUUUUUCCCCCUAAAAACCCCAAAUUCCCCCUUUUUUCCCCAAAAUUCCCCCUCCCCCACUCAAUAAUCCCCCAAAAUCCCCAAAAAAGCCCCAAAAAUCCCCGAAUUUUCCCCAAUUCCGCCUUUUUUUUUUACCCCAUUUUCCCGCUUCCCGCCACCGCCGCCAUUUUGCCGCCGCCAUUUUGGCCGCCGGACGCCGUCAAAGGGGGAAAACGCGUCGAUUUUUGGGUGAAAUUCCACCGUUUUUGGUUCUUUUCACCCCCAAAUUCCACCCUAAAUUCAUUUUUUAGACUCUUACGAUUCAAUCCGGCCAUUUUUUUGGGUUGAAAAUCGACGUUUUUGGGGUUUUUUUGAGCAGAAAAAGCCCUGCCCCCCCCCCGCUUCCAUUUACCACAAUGGUGCGGCCGCGCAGCUCAUGAAUAUUAAUGAACCCCGCGGCGCUCAUGAAUAUUAACG
ensembl:lncRNA